CCCGUGCUACAACCGCUCAUAACAGGUCUUGAAGUACGGGCAACCGUCACCUGUGAUUGGCGAGUCUGAGUCUAUUA
rnacentral:sRNA from 1 species